ensembl:lincRNA 8430437L04Rik RIKEN cDNA 8430437L04 gene
GAACACACUGAGCAAGGGGCCUUAAUGAGCGGCAGGAGGACUGUGAGCUAGCCAGAAAGCUCGCCUCUCCUUCCUCCUGGUUUUAGAGGAUUCUCUAAUAAGGGCAUAACUGGGAGAAAAAGGAGAGAAACUCAACUCAGGGUAACAGCAGGAGUCCCCCAGCGAUCUUCUAAGCAGCUUCCCCAGAAGGCCUCCAGCCAUUCCUGGGACCGGAAGACUUAAUGAGCACAGCCCUCUAUGCCUGUGGGGCUGAACACCACCACUAAAGCCGCCUUCACUCGGGUCCCUGCCCUCGGUGAUCAGCUGGCCACUCCGAGAAGCAGAAAACGGAGGAAUUCUUGGCAGCCUUGACCCUGCUGUUGCUUGAUGAGAUAAAUAUAUCCACUUUGUCUUAUGGAAGGGGGUCACUGAAAUGUAGGUAGCUCAAGAUGCUAACAAGAUGAACUUAAAUUUCGUUUCUAGAACAAAUGAUUUCAGACAUGCACUGCUACACCCUCUUUAUACAGUGCUAGAAAGAGAACUCACGGCUUCAUCCUCUAUAGCUGAGCUCCGUCUCUGACCCUGGAAGAUUCUAUUGCACCAGGCCACAAAGAAAGAAAUCACAAGAACAGGCAGCUGCCACUCCCAAACGUGGACCAGCUCCUCAAGAUGACCUACCAAAGUCCUGGCCACACAGAAAAUAUCACAUCCCUGGGAUUUGCUGUGGGGAAGCUACGCAGACUUUCUGGAGCUCCAUCCUGGACCCUAAACAGAGCCCAGAGUACUCCCCCAGACUCUCCUCCUGAACUGUAAGGAACCUAUUUUGCAUCCUCAAGGGCCUUCCUGGAUCAGGGCAUCUUUAUCUAGGCCUAGGAUGUCCGUAGGAGUUUCCAUGACCACAUGCAGUCACUGAAGAGGGUCAAGAGAGUGAAUGACCAUAAGUUACUCACAACCAACAGGGGAAGAAGCUGACAGAGCAUCCGGCAUGGAAGUCAAUUUGAAAGGACUCUCACUAACAAAAACGGAAAAAGAAAAAUCUAUCAUCGAAGAAAUUACAUCACAGCCAGGCAAGAUUUAGCAGGAGCAGUUCACCAUUGCUCCACAUGGUGGCAGCUGAGUGGCUUGAUCACAAGGACUCCUGGGUUCAUUUCCAAGAUGGCUGCUUCCCAGGAACGACAAAUGGAUGCUGAACUAUCAGCUGAGGAUUCUUCUCCACGGGUAUCUCUUGGGCUCCCUCAAAGAGACAAAACAGGAUUCCAAGAGACAGAAAGGGAUGAUGUCACACAUCUGAGAUGUAAGGGGUUAAAUCCCAUAUUCUGAGGAGGAAAGCCCCAAAAAGACUCAAAGGGGCAAUGAAAUGACUUUGCCUCUCCAGGCAGAAUGACAAAGAAUGUCCAUCUGUCUUUAAUCCAUUCUCUCUUUUCUAUUGUUCAUUUCUCUCUUGUUCUAUUGUUUUUAACAAAGCUUGAGUCCAGAUGUGUAUUUCUUUACCAGAAGUGGUGGCAAGACAGGUGCAAACCUGUGAAAAUGGCAUUUAGUGCUAGGAAGUGGUUCAGAGAUGAUGUCUUCUGUAGGGACAGAAGUUAUUCAGUUAUGGUGCAACCAUAUGAAAAUUUUAUGACACAAAUUUUCCAGUAGAAGCUAAAAAUUUGGCAUUUUGAAUUAAACCUAAGUUAUUGGCUCA